rnacentral:rRNA from 1 species
UACAGAGGGGGCAAGCGUUGUUCGGAAUUACUGGGCGUAAAGGGCGCGUAGGCGGCCUGUUAAGUCAGACGUGAAAUCCCUCGGCUCAACCUGGGAAUGGCCGUUGAAACUGGCGAACUGGAGUGUGGCAGAGGGGGGUGGAAUUCCGCGUGUAGCAGUGAAAUGCGUAGAGAUGCGGAGGAACACCGAUGGCGAAGGCAGCCCCCUGGGCUGACACUGACGCUCAGGCACGAAAGCGUGGGGAGCAAACAGG